UCCCUGGUGGUCUAGUGGUUAGGAUUCAGCGCCCUCACCGCUGCGGCCGAUUCCCGGUCAGGAAA
rnacentral:tRNA from 1 species